AGACAAUAGAUACCCAGGUAGUCCACGCCCUAAACGAUGAUCACUCGAUGUGUGCGAUACACUGUACGCGUCUGAGCGAAAGCAUUAAGUGAUCCACCUGGGGAGUACGACCGCAAGGUUGAAACUCAAAGGAAUUGACGGGGGCCCGCACAAGCGGAGGAGCAUGUGGUUUAAUUCGAUGAUACGCGAGGAACCUUACCAGGGCUUGAAAGUUAGUGAAGGAUGUGGAAACAUGUCCGUCAGCAAUGACACGAAACUAGGUGCUGCAUGGCUGUCGUCAGCUCGUGCCGUGAGGUGUUGGGUUUAAGUCCCGCAACGAGCGCAACCCCUAUCAUUAGUUGCCAACAGGUCAAGCUGGGGACUCUAAUGAGACUGCCCGCGCAAGCGGUGAGGAAGGUGGGGAUGACGUCAAGUCAUCACGGCCCUUACGUCCUGGGCUACACACGUGCUACAAUGGCCGGUACAGAGGGCAGCCACAUGGUAACAUGGAGCUAAUCCUUAAAGCCGGUCUCA
rnacentral:rRNA from 1 species